rnacentral:rRNA from 1 species
UACAGAGGUCCCAAGCGUUGUUCGGAUUCAUUGGGCGUAAAGGGUGCGUAGGUGGUAGACUAAGUCGGAUGUGAAAUCCCAGGGCUCAACCCUGGAACUGCAUUCGAUACUGGCCUGCUUGAGGACUGGAGAGGAGAUUGGAAUUUAUGGUGUAGCAGUGAAAUGCGUAGAUAUCAUAAGGAAGACCAGUGGCGAAGGCGGAUCUCUGGACAGUUCCUGACACUGAGGCACGAAGGCUAGGGGAGCGAACGGG